rnacentral:rRNA from 1 species
UGGGGAAUUUUGGACAAUGGGCGAAAGCCUGAUCCAGCAAUGCCGCGUGUGUGAAGAAGGCCUUCGGGUUGUAAAGCACUUUUGUCCGGAAAGAAAUCCUUGGCUCUAAUACAGUCGGGGGAUGACGGUACCGGAAGAAUAAGCACCGGCUAACUACGUGCCAGCAGCCGCGGUAAUACGUAGGGUGCAAGCGUUAAUCGGAAUUACUGGGCGUAAAGCGUGCGCAGGCGGUUUGCUAAGACCGAUGUGAAAUCCCGGGCUCAACCUGGGAACUGCAUUGGUGACUGGCAGGCUAGAGUAUGGCAGAGGGGGGUAGAAUUCCACGUGUAGCAGUGAAAUGCGUAGAGAUGUGGAGGAAUACCGAUGGCGAAGGCAGCCCCCUGGGCCAAGUACUGACGCUCAUGCACGAAAGCGU